GGGUCUCGCUCGUUACCUGACUUAACAGGAUGCUUCACAGUACGAACUGACGACGGCCAUGCACCACCUCUCAGCGAAUCAGGCAAAGUCUUCAGCCUGGCCUACAUAUUGCUGUCGGUCCCCGGUAAGAUUGUCCGGCGUUGAAUCCAAUUAAACCGCAAGCUCCACCCGUUGUGGUGCUCCCCCGCCAAUUCCUUUAAGUUUCAGCCUUGCGGCCGUACUUCCCAGGUGGCUCGCUUCACGGCUUCCCUACGGCACCAGACAACGGUCGCACCAUGGCCUGACACCUAGCGAGCAUCGUUUACGGCUAGGACUACCCGGGUAUCUAAUCCGGUUCGUGCCCCCAGCUUUCGUCCCUCACCGUCAGAACCCGUUCUGGCCUCGAUAGACAGUAACCUCUCGCCACAGGAGGUCACACAGGGAUUACCAGAUUUCACUCCUACCCCUGUAGUACCUCUUACCUCUCCCGGUUCCAAGUCUGGCAGUAUCCCCCGAAAGCCUAACAGUUGAGCUGUCAGAUUUCCCGGAGGACUGACCAAACCGGCUACGGACCCUUUAGACCCAAUAAUCACGAUCACCACUCGGGCCGCCGGUGUUACCGCGGCGGCUGGCACCGGUCUUGCCCGGCCCUUGCUAACAGGUGUAUUUUUACACACCUGGACA
rnacentral:rRNA from 1 species